UGCAAGUCGAGCGAACUGACGAGGAGCUUGCUCCUUUGACGUUAGCGGCGGACGGGUGAGUAACACGUGGGUAACCUACCUAUAAGACUGGAAUAACUCCGGGAAACCGGGGCUAAUGCCGGAUAACAUAUCGAACCGCAUGGUUCGAUAGUGAAAGACGGUCUUGCUGUCACUUAUAGAUGGACCCGCGCCGUAUUAGCUAGUUGGUGAGGUAACGGCUCACCAAGGCAACGAUACGUAGCCGACCUGAGAGGGUGAUCGGCCACACUGGAACUGAGACACGGUCCAGACUCCUACGGGAGGCAGCAGUAGGGAAUCUUCCGCAAUGGGCGAAAGCCUGACGGAGCAACGCCGCGUGAGUGAUGAAGGUCUUCGGAUCGUAAAGCUCUGUUGUUAGGGAAGAACAAAUGUGUAAGUAACUGUGCACAUCUUGACGGUACCUAACCAGAAAGCCACGGCUAACUACGUGCCAGCAGCCGCGGUAAUACGUAGGUGGCAAGCGUUAUCCGGAAUUAUUGGGCGUAAAGCGCGCGUAGGCGGUUUUUUAAGUCUGAUGUGAAAGCCCACGGCUCAACCGUGGAGGGUCAUUGGAAACUGGAAAACUUGAGUGCAGAAGAGGAAAGUGGAAUUCCAUGUGUAGCGGUGAAAUGCGCAGAGAUAUGGAGGAACACCAGUGGCGAAGGCGGCUUUCUGGUCUGUAACUGACGCUGAUGUGCGAAAGCGUGGGGAUCAAACAGGAUUAGAUACCCUGGUAGUCCACGCCGUAAACGAUGAGUGCUAAGUGUUAGGGGGUUUCCGCCCCUUAGUGCUGCAGCUAACGCAUUAAGCACUCCGCCUGGGGAGUACGGUCGCAAGACUGAAACUCAAAGGAAUUGACGGGGACCCGCACAAGCGGUGGAGCAUGUGGUUUAAUUCGAAGCAACGCGAAGAACCUUACCAAAUCUUGACAUCUUUUGACCACUCUAGAGAUAGAGUUUUCCUCUUCGGAGGACAAAAUGACAGGUGGUGCAUGGUUGUCGUCAGCUCGUGUCGUGAGAUGUUGGGUUAAGUCCCGCAACGAGCGCAACCCUUGAGCUUAGUUGCCAUCAUUAAGUUGGGCACUCUAAGUUGACUGCCGGUGACAAACCGGAGGAAGGUGGGGAUGACGUCAAAUCAUCAUGCCCCUUAUGAUUUGGGCUACACACGUGCUACAAUGGACAAUACAAAGGGCAGCGAAACCGCGAGGUCAAGCAAAUCCCAUAAAGUUGUUCUCAGUUCGGAUUGUAGUCUGCAACUCGACUACA
rnacentral:rRNA from 1 species